rnacentral:rRNA from 1 species
AGAGUUUGAUCCUGGCUCAGGAUGAACGCUGGCGGCGUGCCUAAUACAUGCAAGUCGAACGAAUCUCUUUUAGAGAUGAGUGGCGAACGGGUGAGUAAUACAUAGGUAACCUGCCCCUGUGCGGGGGAUAACAGGAGGAAACUCCUGCUAAUACCGCAUAGCCAUGAGCACCGCAUGGAGCUCAUGCCAAAUAUCCUUUCGGGGACAGCGCAGGGAUGGACCUAUGGCGCAUUAGCUGGUUGGCGGGGCAACGGCCCACCAAGGCAACGAUGCGUAGCCGGCCUGAGAGGGCGGACGGCCACAUUGGGACUGAGACACGGCCCAGACUCCUACGGGAGGCAGCAGUAGGGAAUUUUCGGCAAUGGGGGAAACCCUGACCGAGCAACGCCGCGUGAGCGAAGAAGGCCUUCGGGUCGUAAAGCUCUGUUGUAAAGGAAGAACGGCGCAUACAGGAAAUGGUAUGCGAGUGACGGUACUUUACCAGAAAGCCACGGCUAACUACGUGCCAGCAGCCGCGGUAAUACGUAGGUGGCGAGCGUUAUCCGGAAUCAUUGGGCGUAAAGAGGGAGCAGGCGGCCGCAAGGGUCUGUGGUGAAAGACCGAAGCUAAACUUCGGUAAGCCAUGGAAACCGGGCGGCUAGAGUGCGGAAGAGGAUCGUGGAAUUCCAUGUGUAGCGGUGAAAUGCGUAGAUAUAUGGAGGAACACCAGUGGCGAAGGCGACGGUCUGGGCCGCAACUGACGCUCAUUCCCGAAAGCGUGGGGAGCAAAUAGGAUUAGAUACCCUAGUAGUCCACGCCGUAAACGAUGGUCACUAAGUGUCGGGGGUCAAACCCCGGUGCUGCAGUCAACGCAAUAAGUGACCCGCCUGAGUAGUACGUUC